GAUGAACGCUGGCGGCGUGCCUAACACAUGCAAGUCGAGCGAUUUACUUCGGUAAAGAGCGGCGGACGGGUGAGUAACGCGUGGGUAACCUGCCCUGUACACACGGAUAACAUACCGAAAGGUAUGCUAAUACGAGAUAAUAUGUUUUUAUCGCAUGGUAGAAGUAUCAAAGCUUUUGCGGUACAGGAUGGACCCGCGUCUGAUUAGCUAGUUGGUAAGGUAACGGCUUACCAAGGCAACGAUCAGUAGCCGACCUGAGAGGGUGAUCGGCCACAUUGGAACUGAGACACGGUCCAAACUCCUACGGGAGGCAGCAGUGGGGAAUAUUGCACAAUGGGCGAAAGCCUGAUGCAGCAACGCCGCGUGAGCGAUGAAGGCCUUCGGGUCGUAAAGCUCUGUCCUCAAGGAAGAUAAUGACGGUACUUGAGGAGGAAGCCCCGGCUAACUACGUGCCAGCAGCCGCUGUAAAAC
rnacentral:rRNA from 1 species